AGCUGGGACAAAAAAAAAACUGUUCACUAGGGCCUCCCAGGGGAGGGCAAGGAGCACUGGCCAUAAACUGUUACAGGAUGGUUUCAGAUUGGAUGCAAG